AGCUUGCUUCUCUGAUGUUAGCGGCGGACGGGUGAGUAACACGUGGAUAACCUACCUAUAAGACUGGGAUAACUUCGGGAAACCGGAGCUAAUACCGGAUAAUAUUUUGAACCGCAUGGUUCAAAAGUGAAAGACGGUCUUGCUGUCACUUAUAGAUGGAUCCGCGCUGCAUUAGCUAGUUGGUAAGGUAACGGCUUACCAAGGCAACGAUGCAUAGCCGACCUGAGAGGGUGAUCGGCCACACUGGAACUGAGCCACGAUCAAAACUUAUACGGGAGGCAGCAGUAGGGAAUCUUCCGCAAUGGGCGAAAGCCUGACGGAGCAACGCCGCGUGAGUGAUGAAGGUCUUCGGAUCGUAAAACUCUGUUAUUAGGGAAGAACAUAUGUGUAAGUAACUGUGCACAUCUUGACGGUACCUAAUCAGAAAGCCACGGCUAACUACGUGCCAGCAGCCGCGGUAAUACGUAGGUGGCAAGCGUUAUCCGGAAUUAUUGGGCGUAAAGCGCGCGUAGGCUGUUUUUUAAGUCUGAUGUGAAAGCCCACGGCUCAACCGUGGAGGGUCAUUGGGAAACUGGAAAACUUGAGUGCAGAAGAGGGAAAGUGAAAUUCCAUGUGUAGCGGUGAAAUGCGCAGAGAU
rnacentral:rRNA from 1 species